rnacentral:lncRNA from 10 species
GAGGAAACUUUGACUCAGACACAACACAGAGGAACACCAUGUGAAGACAUGGAGAGAAGACAGCCAUCACCAUGCCAAGGACUGAUGAGACAGCAGUUUUUUCUUGACUUUCAGAGAAACUGAACAGUGUGAAUCCACUCCCAAAAUAAGAAGAACCUUUAUUUGGUGAGCAGGCCACCGAAUUUUGUUGGCAUUUAUCAACCACGUCCCUGCUAGUGAAGGUGUCACAGCAUCACAAUCUGGGCUAUUGAGACUGAAACAUCUGCCACGUCAACCAACAGGACAGCACCUGUGUAGUGAGAGCUGAGGACAUCAGAAAGCAAGGGCACUCAUGUUAAAUCCUGACCCAACCCAGUGGCAAAUGGCAGAGAAGUCCCUCUAUCACUGGGCUACAUUCUGCUAUGGGUUGUGUCACUGGGGAGGAACAUGGAGCUUUGGGACUUCAGUGCCGGCCCAUUACUCCAGAAGAUGACAUUCUUUCUAGUUUACAAGACUUCAAGCAAACCUGCCCUUAUCUUGAUUGAGUACUUAUAAGAAUGUUUGCUUCAUGAAGGCAGGAAUUUUAUGCCUUUUUCACUUCCAUAUUUCUAGCCCCUAAAUAGUAAAAUAGUAGGCUCAAGAUAGAUACUUGUUGAAUGCGGUUUAAUUAUGAAAAUGCCUGAUUUUCCUACUGAGAUGAGUGACAACCACUUUCAGGUCAAAUGGAUUCUGAGACUAUUUCCUACUAGGGAUUUAAAUAUCAAUUUG